rnacentral:rRNA from 1 species
UACAGAGGGUGCAAGCGUUGUUCGGAAUUACUGGGCGUAAAGCGCGCGUAGGCGGCUUUGUAAGUUAGAGGUGAAAGCCCGGAGCUCAACUCCGGAAUUGCCUUUAAGACUGCAUCGCUAGAAUCGUGGAGAGGUGAGUGGAAUUCCGAGUGUAGAGGUGAAAUUCGUAGAUAUUCGGAAGAACACCAGUGGCGAAGGCGACUCACUGGACACGUAUUGACGCUGAGGUGCGAAAGCGUGGGGAGCAAACAGG